CCAUCUUUGAUGACCUCUGCU
rnacentral:misc_RNA from 1 species